rfam:Calocera viscosa TTFC12733 unplaced genomic scaffold CALVIscaffold_10, whole genome shotgun sequence.
GACAGGAUGGUGUAGUGGUUAUCACUUUCGUCUUACAGCGCUGGCGUUUUUCGCGUUCGAGCUGCACACGAAUGGGCGGGGGUUCGAAUCCCUCUCUUGUCA